rnacentral:misc_RNA from 1 species
GAUGAAGAACGUAGUGAAAUGCGAUAAGUAAUGUGAAUUGCAGAAUUCAGUGAAUCAUCGAAUCUUUGAACGCACAUUGCGCCCGCCAGUAUUCUGGCGGGCAUGCCUGUUCGAGCGUCAUUACAACCCUCAGGCCCCCGGGCCUGGCGUUGGGGAUCGGCGGAGCCCCCCGUGGGCACACGCCGUCCCCCAAAUGCAGUGGCGGUCCCGCCGCAGCUUCCAUCGCGUAGUAGCUAACACCUCGCGACUGGAGAGCGGCGCGGCCACGCCGUAAAACACCCAACUCUUCUGAAGUUGACCACGAAUCAGGUAGGAAUACCCGCUGAACUUAAGCAUAUCAAUAAGCGGAGGA